AGAAUCAACGCUGGCGGCGUGCCUAAUACAUGCAAGUCGAACGCGAAAGUGGAGCAAUCCAUGAGUAGAGUGGCAAACGGGUGAGUAACACGUGGGUGACCUGCCUUAGAGUGGGGGAUAACGUCCCGAAAGGGACGCUAAUACCGCAUAACAUCCCGCCUUUUAAGAGGUGGAGAUCAAAGCCGGGGAUCGCAAGACCUGGCGCUUUUAGAGGGGCCCGCGCCUGAUUAGCUAGUUGGUGAGGUAAUGGCUCACCAAGGCAACGAUCAGUA
rnacentral:rRNA from 1 species